GACGAACGCUGGCGGCGUGCUUAACACAUGCAAGUCGAACGGAAAGGCCCUGCUUGCGUGGUGUGCUCGAGUGGCGAACGGGUGAGUAACACGUGAGUAACCUGCCCUUGACUUUGGGAUAACUUCAGGAAACUGGGGCUAAUACCGGAUAGGAUCUCCUGCUGCAUGGUGGGGGUUGGAAAGUCUCGGCGGUUGGGGAUGGACUCGCGGCUUAUCAGCUUGUUGGUGGGGUAGUGGCUUACCAAGGCUUUGACGGGUAGCCGGCCUGAGAGGGUGACCGGCCACAUUGGGACUGAGAUACGGCCCAGACUCCUACGGGAGGCAGCAGUGGGGAAUAUUGCACAAUGGGCGGAAGCCUGAUGCAGCAACGCCGCGUGCGGGAUGACGGCCUUCGGGUUGUAAACCGCUUUCGCCUGUGACGAAGCGUGAGUGACGGUAAUGGGUAAAGAAGCACCGGCUAACUACGUG
rnacentral:rRNA from 1 species